rnacentral:rRNA from 1 species
CAAUAGCGUAUAUUAAAGUUGUUGCAGUUAAAAAGCUCGUAGUUGGAUUUCGGGGCAGCCUGGCUGGUCCGCCGCAAGGCGAGUACUGGUCAGCCGCCCUUCCUCUCGAAAGCCCCGACUGCUCUUCAUUGCAGUGGUCGGGUAGUUCGGGACGUUUACUUUGAAAAAAUUAGAGUGUUCAAGGCAGGCCUACGCCUGAAUACAUUAGCAUGGAAUAAUGGAAGAGGACCUCGGUCCUAUUUUGUUGGUUUCCAGGGCCGAAGUAAUGAUUAAGAGGGACAGUUGGGGGCAUUCGUAUUUAAUUGUCAGAGGUGAAAUUCUCGGAUUUAUGAAAGACGAACAACUGCGAAAGCAUUUGCCAAGGAUGCUUUCAUUAA